rnacentral:rRNA from 1 species
GCUACCAUGCAGUCGAGCGGUAAGGCCCUUUCGGGGGUACACGAACGGCGAACGGGUGAGUAACACGUGGGUGACCUGCCCUCAGCUCUGGGAUAAGCCCGGGAAACUGGGUCUAAUACCGGAUAUGACUCCAUGACGCAUGUUGUGGGGUGGAAAGCCUUGUGCGGCUGAGGAUGGGCCCGCGGCCUAUCAGCUUGUUGGUGGGGUGAUGGCCUACCAAGGCGACGACGGGUAGCCGGCCUGAGAGGGCGACCGGCCACACUGGGACUGAGACACGGCCCAGACUCCUACGGGAGGCAGCAGUGGGGAAUCUUGCGCAAUGGGCGAAAGCCUGACGCAGCGACGCCGCGUGAGGGAUGACGGCCUUCGGGUUGUAAACCUCUUUCAGCUCCGACGAAGCGGAAGUGACGGUAGGAGCAGAAGAAGCACCGGCCAACUACGUGCCAGCAGCCGCGGUAAUACGUAGGGUGCAAGCGUUGUCCGGAAUUAUUGGGCGUAAAGAGCUCGUAGGCGGUCUGUCGCGUCGGCUGUGAAAACUCGGGGCUCAACUCCGAGCUUGCAGUCGAUACGGGCAGGCUAGAGUUCGGCAGGGGAGACUGGAAUUCCUGGUGUAGCGGUGAAAUGCGCAGAUAUCAGGAGGAACACCGGUGGCGAAGGCGGGUCUCUGGGCCGAUACUGACGCUGAGGAGCGAAAGCGUGGGGAGCGAACAGGAUUAGAUACCCUGGUAGUCCACGCCGUAAACGUUGGGCGCUAGGUGUGGGAUCCCUUCCACGGGUUCCGUGCCGCAGCUAACGCAUUAAGCGCCCCGCCUGGGGAGUACGGCCGCAAGGCUAAAACUCAAUGAAUUGACGGGG